rnacentral:rRNA from 1 species
AUAACGGUCCUAAGGUAGCGAAAUUCCUUGUCGGGUAAGUUCCGACCCGCACGAAUGGUGUAACGAUCUGGGCACUGUCUCAACUACCCACCCGGCGAAAUUGUAGUACCGGUGAAGAUGCCGGUUACCUGCGGCAAGACGGAAAGACCCCAUGGAGCUUUACUGUAGCCUGAUAUUGGGUUUCGGAAAUCUAUGUACAGGAUAGGCGGGAGACUGGGAAACAUGAGCGUCAGCUUGUGUGGAGUCGAUGUUGGGAUACCGCCCUUAGGUUUCUGGAAUUCUAACCUGCGGCCGUGAAUCCGGUCGGGGGACAUUGUCAGGUGGGCAGUUUGACUGGGGCGGUCGCCUCCUAAAAGGUAACGGAGGCGCCCAAAGGUUCCCUCAGAAUGGUUGGAAAUCAUUCGCAGAGUGUAAAGGCAUAAGGGAGCUUGACUGCGAGACCUACAAGUCGAGCAGGGACGAAAGUCGGGCUUAGUGAUCCGGUGGUUCCGCAUGGAAGGGCCAUCGCUCAACGGAUAAAAGCUACCCUGGGGAUAACAGGCUUAUCUCCCCCAAGAGUCCACAUCGACGGGGAGGUUUGGCACCUCGAUGUCGGCUCAUCGCAUCCUGGGGCUGUAGUCGGUCCCAAGGGUUGGGCUGUUCGCCCAUUAAAGCGGUACGCGAGCUGGGUUCAGAACGUCGUGAGACAGUUCGGUCCCUAUCCGUCGCGGGCGCAGGAAAUUUGAGAGGAUCUGUCCUUAGUACGAGAGGACCGGGAUGGACAUACCGCUGGUGUACCAGUUGUUCUGCCAAGGGCAUCGCUGGGUAGCUAUGUAUGGAUGAGAUAAACGCUGAAAGCAUCUAAGUGCGAAACUCACCUCGAGAUAAGAUUUCCCACUCCUUUAUGGAGUUAAGACCCCUGAGAGAUGAUCAGGUAGAUAGGAUGGAAGUGGAAGUGCGGCGACGCAUGGAGCGGACCAUUACUAAUCGGUCGAGGACUUAACCAA